ARACUUUCAACAACGGAUCUCUUGGUUCUGGCAUCGAUGAAGAACGCAGCGAAAUGCGAUAAGUAAUGUGAAUUGCAGAAUUCAGUGAAUCAUCGAAUCUUUGAACGCACAUUGCGCCCCUUGGUAUUCCGAGGGGCAUGCCUGUUCGAGCGUCAUU
rnacentral:rRNA from 1 species